rnacentral:lncRNA from 1 species
AAACAUAUAAAUUAUAGCUCAUAAUUAUUUUUAUACAAUUUUUAAUGAUUUUCCCAAUUCAGAAUAGGGAAUUCUAAAAUCAAUCUGACAUUGUCUCACAAAAAUUCAAAUUCAUACCAAUUUAGUCAAAUCCUAUUUUAUACCAUAACCAAACCUAAAUUUAUUUAUUUCAUCCUUACAUUUACAAUUUUAAAAUGACACACACAUAAGACAUCCUAGGUACAUGCCAUUACCCAUAAUUAACACACUUUAUCUCAUUGAAUUCGGGAUCGGCCUGGGAUGCUGAUUCAACGUUCUAUCUUUACUUUACCUGCGCACAGAAACAAACCGUACGCUGAGUAUGGUAUACUCAGUGGUAUUUCUAUAACCCAAACACUUAAUAAUAUAACAAUUAAACUUAAAAUCACAAUAACAAAUAUAACUAUUCAUUUAUUUAUUUUAUAGAUAAGUUUCAUUUACUUACCAUAAAAAUUCUAUACAAGCCAUAUAACAAACACAACAACAUAUUUGCUCAAUUCUUUUCAUUUGCUUACCGUAUAAAUUAUAUUCACAAUUCACUUGUAUUCACACUUUACUUCUUAACAAUAUACCAUUUUAAUUCAUUCUAACAUCAAUCAUCAUCCAUUUGAACUUCACUCAUUUCACGAACCUUUUGGUUCAUGUUUUCAAUCUCAUAUCUCAAUUUCAAUUCUCAAUUCAAUUUCUCAUUUCAUUCCAAUAGCUCAAUCAAUCAAAUUCGCUCGAUUUAUCUUUUCACUUAUUUACCCCUAUUAACAAGACUCAGACUCUGAUAGAUACGUGGAUUCCUCCCAAACACACCAGAAUAUCCAACCCAAACACACCACGGAAUAUUAUAAAUCCACACACCAGUAUAUCAUAUCCUCCCAAACACACCAAUAAGGCAUUAAAUUCCUCUUCAGAUAAACCGAAGUAUAUAAUAACAGAAACAUCUUCUCGGCCGAACUACAAAUCUCCUCAUCACAUCAUAAAUCCAAUGGCAUGCCAUUUGUAUCCAAUCUGGUCCGAUACUGUUAAUAGGGUAUUUGAUUCACUUUCUCAAUUUAAUAAAUCUUUCAUCAAUCUACCACUCUAAUAAUCACAUAUAUUCACACAUUUCCAUAAUUUCAUAUAUUUUCAUUCAAUUCAACAAAUAUAUUUCAAUUAUUCACAUUAAUUCAUAAUUCAAUACAACACAAUUCACUUUUCAAUAUCAAAUAUUCAAUUAUCACAAAUCUCAUAUAUUCAUAUCAAUUCCCUCAUAUUCCAAUCAAUAUAAUUUUUCAAUAUAACAUUCAUUCAAUAUUCAAAUUUUUACAUAAAUCAUAUAUAUAAUAUAUAUUUCAAUCAAUAUAAAUUCAAUCAAAAUGAUUUCAAUCAAUAUAAAUUUGAUAAAUUCAUCACAUACCAAAAUCAAUCAAUUUCAAUUGUAAAAUAUCAUAAUUCUAACACUAACAAUUGUCAUCUGUAUAUAAAUAUAACAAAUAAUGACUGAGUUCGGAUUAUAGAAAUACAAACCGUAUUUUCUCGAGCUAACUCCCGUUGUCUUUGCCAUUUUUCCUUGCUUAGCCGAGAUUUCCCGAGACAACAUUAGCUAUGAGAAUUAAAACAAUUCAUAUUCGUUAAUUCUCUACUAAUUUAUAUCUAAUUAAUAAAUUUUGAUUCAAUUUCUACUUUAAUUUCAAUUUAAUCUUAACUAAAUUCACUUACUUUUUCUAUCUCAAUUCAUACUUCAUUUCUAUUCAAAUUUUGUCCAAACUCAUACUUAACUAUUAAAUUUUCAGCAUAUUUUCCUAAUUUCGAAAAUUUCAUCAAUUUAGUCCCUUCAACAUAAAACUUAUGAAUUACUUUACAAUUCAUUCCUUAUUUCAUUUCUAACUUGAAUUCCUAUCAAUCUAACCACUAAUUCAUUUUUUUAUUCAACAUGAACAAUAUUUAGAAUUCUAAUAACUUUCAAAAUAUUAAUUUAAUUUCAUCAAAACUUUGUUCUAAAGCUUUUAAAACAUCAAAAUUAAGUAAAAAUGGCUAAAUUAACUUACCUAUUAAACUUCCAAACCUUCAAACCCUAAUUCUCCCUUUUCUUUUCUUUCUCCUUUCUUUCUUUCCUUCCCCUGCUUUUCGUUUGCCUAUUCUGUUUUUUUUCUU